UCUCUUCCGUUUUUACUGCAAGCCAACAUUAGGAUGUGCAGGCAGGCAAUUCUUUUUUAAAUGCAGUUUUUACUCUUUUCCACCAGUUUGGUUCACUCUUGUGUGUGUGUCUUUUAUGUUGGUAGAAGGUCCAGAACAACAGAUACUAUACCAAUUUGGACAGUUAGGUGUGGAAUUAGAUACACGUCAGGCUCUUGAUGAGUUGACAGAGCAUUGACCUACAAAUAUUUGUGCAACAACUGGAAUGGUGGGUUGCACUGCUGUGAGGUAAACUCAAGUCGAAUCGCAAAAUACAAGCAUGUGGAAAGGUUACAUCAUUUGAAAACCAUCCUUGAAGUUGAGGGGGGAAAAAAAUGCCACCACACAUGGUGAUGACCAUCGAACAGGAAGUGGUACUCAGUGGGAAUGAGGCCAUUGUGUGCUGAUGAAAAAUGGGACAUGUGUCAUGGUUGCUUACUAGAGCUCAAGUGCCAUCAAUCCAAAAAAAGAAAAUGUUUGGUGACAUCUUGCGGAAUCUUUUCUUAAUUCAGAAUCUUAAAUCCCCAACAAGGAACUAUGCUGAAGUGAGGUUUUUUUU